CUUUGUUUGGCAUUCCUUUAUCACCUAAACCUUCUUUCCUAUCCACCUCACUCAUUACAGUAGUGCUUUUCUUAAGGACAUGGGAACUGGGAAGGGGAUGGAUCAAUCUCAUGAUGACGAUGAUGAGCUUCUGAAGACAGUUCAUUCUACAGUUUUGCAGGGGAAAACGGACGGCAUAAAAAUGUGCUAACUGCUAAGUUGCCUUUUACUUUUGUUAUUUUGUAAAAUUUCUCUUAUAUAUGUAGCAUGUUUAUAUUUUGCAUAUAAAAAUCACAGGGACCUAGUUUCAUCGUUUUUGGUUACAUGGACCUAGCUAGUUCCAUUCUAUUGCAUCAGAAUAGAGACAUUAUUAUUGAUGCUGCUUAAGUUUACAUUCAGUAUUUUUAUUUUAUCUAUGUUGCAUAGAUACACGGGUACUAUAACUUGAUCCAUAUGAAAAUAGGUAUGUGAUACAAUUUUUUUGGAAAAA